GGCUUGAUUGCUCAGUUGGUAGAGCACUGCACCGGUACCGGUAUCGCAGAGAUCAUGGGUUCAAAUCACGUUCAAGCCU